rnacentral:rRNA from 1 species
AUUGAACGCUGGCGGCAGGCUUAACACAUGCAAGUCGAGCGGGGAAAGGUAGCUUGCUACCUGACCUAGCGGCGGACGGGUGAGUAAUGCUUAGGAAUCUGCCUAUUAGUGGGGGACAACAUUCCGACAGGAAUGCUAAUACCGCAUACGACCUACGGGGAAAGCAGGGGAUCUUCGGACCCUGCGCUAGUAGAUGAGCCUGAGUGAGAUUAGCUAGUUGGUGGGGUAAAGGCCUACCAAGGCGACGAUCUGUAACGGGUCUGAGAGGAUGAUCCGCAACACUGGGACUGAGACACGGCCCAGACUCAUACGGGAGGCAGCAGUGGGGAAUAUUGGACAAUGGGCGAAAGCCUGAUCCAGCCAUGCCGCGUGUGUGAGGAAGGCCUUUUGGUUGUAAAGCACUUUAAGCGAGGAGGAGGCUACUUGGAUUAAUACACUAGGAUAGUGGACGUUACUCGCAGAAUAAGCACCGGCUAACUCUGUUACAGCAGCCGCAGUAA